AUUGAACGCUGGCGGCAGGCCUAACACAUGCAAGUCGAACGGUAACAGGAAGCAGCUUGCUGCUUUGCUGACGAGUGGCGGACGGGUGAGUAAUGUCUGGGAAACUGCCUGAUGGAGGGGGAUAACUACUGGAAACGGUAGCUAAUACCGCAUAACGUCGCAAGACCAAAGAGGGGGACCUUCGGGCCUCUUGCCAUCGGAUGUGCCCAGAUGGGAUUAGCUAGUAGGUGGGGUAACGGCUCACCUAGGCGACGAUCCCUAGCUGGUCUGAGAGGAUGACCAGCCAAACUGGAACUGAGACACGGUCCAGACUCCUACGGAGGGCAGCAGUGGGGAAUAUUGCACAAGGGGCGCAAGCCUGAUGCAGCCAUGCCGCGGGUAUGAAGAAGGCCUUCGGGUGGUAAAGUACUUUCAGCGGGGAGAAGGGAGUAAAGUUAAUACCUUUGCUCAUUGACGUUACCCGCAGAAGAAGCACCGGCUAACUCCGUG
rnacentral:rRNA from 1 species